rnacentral:lncRNA from 1 species
CACUUUCUUCUUCGUGUCCAGCUUAUAAAAUUGCUGCACUACCGCUCGAUCAACAGUUUAAUGGCGGAUAGGUGUUGACCGAAGGAGGAGGGACGGAGGGGUCAACCCUGCCUCCUCUUUUCCGGGCUGAGAGGCCCCUUCCCCACGUUGGUAGAUUCCCCACAGUUUCAUCUGGGCAUAAAAUUUCUCUGUUUUCACGUUAACGUGACGCCAUCCACUCACAAUUUUGUAGAAGAACGAUACAAACGCAGGCCAAUAAUUCAGCGUGUCAGUCGCUGCCACCUCCUCUCUCUCUCUCUCUCUCCAUCAAUCAAUCAAGUCAUAGCAAACGAGGAAGAAGGAGAAAAUUAACCCUGGGAAACAGCACCGGUGAGGUGGAAUUGCAGAGCACAAGAACACAUUCCUUUCUCCAAGUGAGGCCUCAUCCCCUCACUCCCUUUACAGGGAGAAAUAUACACAGCAAGGGUAAAAGAAACCUCUGAUCUAUGAUCUCUCUCUCUCAAAAUGUACAAGUUUCCUCUCAGAUCCUUCCUCGCUGCUUGUGGGUGGGAUUGACAGAAAGAAGGACACGAACAGGGGAACCUCAUGGGUAGUCUCGCCAGCAGAUGAGCAUGGUGACACAGCGGCGCAUGAUGUAGAACCUGGCUCUCUGCUCCUUGACCAGGCUGGCGAACCGGCUGGAGAAAGAGCCCGGUGCGGCCGUCCUCCUCAUCUGCCUCGUGCUCGCCGAUCCCUUCAGGAAGGGUCCAGCUCCCUCUACUCCCAUGAUUCUUCUGCUCGCGUUGCAGCUCCUGCUCCCCUUCUUCGACAGCUUCCACUUCUCCUCCAUGAACAGCUCCAUCUCCUUCCUCUCCUGCUGUUCCUCUGCUAGAUCGACGAAGAGCUGGAGAGAGAGAGAGUGUGUGUGUGAGUGAGCCUCCGGGGAGUUGGCUGUGUGGCGGUCCAGUAUUUAUAGAGGACACGGGAAAGGGCCAAAGGCGGAUGUAUGUGAAACGGCCAUAGAGAGGAUUGAGUGGUGGAGGACGAUGGGUAACAUUUUGGGUCAAUCUCGUAAAGUUCUUUGCGAGGGGACAUUAUCUUUACCUAAACAACUAUUUAAACGUCAUUAUCAAACUGUUAAUGCUUGCUCUGAACACCAACGUACCCAUCGUAUCACUCGUGACGUGGCACAGUUUUUAUAUCUCACAAUGGCUGUGGGUCCCAAGCAAGGGUUACGAUCCGCC